rnacentral:rRNA from 1 species
CAGCGCCGCGGGAAUACGGAGGGAGCUAGCGUUGUUCGGAAUUACUGGGCGUAAAGCGCACGUAGGCGGCUUUGUAAGUUAGAGGUGAAAGCCUGGAGCUCAACUCCAGAAUUGCCUUUAAGACUGCAUCGCUUGAAUCCAGGAGAGGUGAGUGGAAUUCCGAGUGUAGAGGUGAAAUUCGUAGAUAUUCGGAAGAACACCAGUGGCGAAGGCGGCUCACUGGACUGGUAUUGACGCUGAGGUGCGAAAGCGUGGGGAGCAAACAGGAUUAGAUACCCCUGUAGUCCCUGUCUCUUAUACA